AAAUAAGUAGCAAUACUUAUGAGAGUGGCGCACGGGUGAGUAACGCGUAUGCAACCUACCUAUAACUGGGGGAUAGCUCAGAGAAAUCUGAAUUAAUACCGCAUAACAUUAUUGAAUGGCAUCAUUUGAUAAUCAAAACUCCGGUGGUUAUAGAUGGGCAUGCGUGACAUUAGCUAGUUGGUAAGGUAACGGCUUACCAAGGCUACGAUGUCUAGGGGGUCUGAGAGGAUGAUCCCCCACACUGGUACUGAGACACGGACCAGACUCCUACGGGAGGCAGCAGUAAGGAAUAUUGGUCAAUGGACGAAAGUCUGAACCAGCCAUGCCGCGUGAAGGAUGACGGCCCUAUGGGUUGUAAACUUCUUUUAUACGGGAAGAAACCCUGAUACGUGUAUCAGGUUGACGGUACUGUAAGAAUAAGGACCGGCUAACUUCGUGCCAGCAGCCGCGGUAAUACGAAGGGUCCAAGCGUUAUCCGGAUUUAUUGGGUUUAAAGGGUGCGUAGGCGGCUUAUUAAGUCAGUGGUGAAAGACUUCAGCUUAACUGAAGAACUGCCAUUGAUACUGAUGAGCUUG
rnacentral:rRNA from 1 species